AUAUUGCACAAUGGGGGAAACCCUGAUGCAGCGACGCCGCGGGAGUGAAGAAGUAUUUCGGUAUGUAAAGCUCUAUCAGCAGGGAAGAAGAUGACGGUACCUGAGUAAGAAGCCCCGGCUCACUACGUGCCAGCAGCCGCGGUAAUCCGUAGGGGGCAAGCGUUAUCCGGAUUUACUGGGUGUAAAGGGAGCGUAGACGGUGAGACAAGUCUGAAGUGAAAGCCCGGGGCUCAACCCCGGGACUGCUUUGGAAACUGCCUGACUGGAGUGCUGGAGAGGCAAGCGGAAUUCCUAGUGUAGCGGUGAAAUGCGUAGAUAUUAGGAAGAACACCAGUGGCGAAGGCGGCUUGCUGGACAGUAACUGACGUUGAGGCUCGAAAGCGUGGGGAGCAAACAGG
rnacentral:rRNA from 1 species